GACGAACGCUGGCGGCGUGCUUAACACAUGCGAGUCGAACGGUGAAGGGAUCAGCUUGCUGGUUCUGGAUGAGUGGCGAACGGGUGAGUAACACGUGAGUAACCUGCCCCCUUCUUCUGGAUAACCGCAUGAAAGUGUGGCUAAUACGGGAUAUUCUGGGUCUGUCGCAUGAUGGGUCUGGGAAAGAUAUUGUUUCGGUGGGGGAUGGGCUCGCGGCCUAUCAGCUUGUUGGUGGGGUGAUGGCCUACCAAGGCGGUGACGGGUAGCCGGCCUGAGAGGGUGACCGGCCACACUGGGACUGAGACACGGCCCAGACUCCUACGGGAGGCAGCAGUGGGGAAUAUUGCACAAUGGGCGAAAGCCUGAUGCAGCAACGCCGCGUGAGGGACGACGGCCUUCGGGUUGUAAACCUCUUUUAGCAGGGAAGAAGCGAAAGUGACGGUACCUGCAGAAAAAGCGCCGGCUAACUACGUG
rnacentral:rRNA from 1 species